rfam:Steinernema glaseri strain NC unplaced genomic scaffold GLAS_6894, whole genome shotgun sequence.
GCAGUCUUGUCCGAGUGGUUAAGGAGAUUGACUAGAAAUCAAUUGGGCUCUGCCCGCGUAGGUUCGAAUCCUGCAGACUGCG